GCCAGCGUGGCAUAGUGGUUUGAGUGUUGGACAUAUCACUCUGGAGACUAGGGUUUGAUUCCCUGCUUGGCC